CUUCACCACAAUUUUAUUUUAUUUUGAGAGAGUCUUGCUCUUUCACCCAGGCUGGACUGCAGUGGCAUGAUCUCGGCUCACUGCAACUUCCUCCUCCCGGGUUCAAGCGAGUCUCCUGCCUCAGCCUCCCAAAUAGCUGGGAUUACAGGCACAUGCCACCACACACAGCUAAUUUUUGUAUUUUUAGUAAAGAAAGGGUUUCACCAUGUUGGCGAGUCUGGUCUCAAACUCCUGGGCUCAAGCAUCACCACAAUUUUAGAUCGUAUGUAUCUCCGAAAGAAAUCCAGCUCCCCUUAGCUGUCACUUUCAAACCCCCAUGCCCUCCAGCCCUAGGCAACCGUUAAUGUGCUUUUUCUUGAGAGAUUUUCCUGUUCUGGACAUUUCAUAUAAAUGGAGUCAUGCAGUAUGUAAAUCCUUCAUGACUAGCUUAACUUACCAUAAUGUUUUGAAGGUUCGUCCCUGUAACGUGUAUCAUUAUUACUUUCUUUUUAUGACUGAAUAAUAUUCUAAAGUGUGGUAAGGAUAUGACAUCUUGCUUACCCAUUCAUCAGCUGACGGAUGUUUAGGUUGUUUCCAUUUUUUGGCUACUGUGAAUAAUGCUUCUGUGAAGAUUUAUGUGCCUGUUUUAGUGUGGAAAUGUUUUCAUUUCUGUCAGGUAGAUCUGAGGAGCAGAACUGGAGAUUAUACGCUAACAUUAUGUUUAACCAUUUCAGGAACUGCCAGAUUGAUUUUCACAGCAACUGGACCAUUUUACAUUCCCACUAGCAGGAUGGAGUCUCGCUCUGUCACCCAGCCUGGAGUGCAGUGGCGCGAUCUCGGCUCACUGCAAGCUCCUCCUCCCGGAUUUAGGCCAUUCUCCUGCCUCAGCCUCCCGAGUAGCUGGGACUACAGGCGGCGCCUGCCACAACUCCUGGCUAAUUUUUUGCAUUUUUAGUAGAGAUGGGGUUUCACCAUGUUAGUCAGGAUGGUCUCGAUCUCCUGACCUCGUGAUCUGCCCGUCUCAGCCUCCCACAGUGCUGGGAUUACAGGCGUGAGCCACCGCGCCCAGCCGAUUUAUGCCCAUCUUUACUUCUUUUUUUUGACUUUUGGUUUAGCAUAUAGCAUGUUUAUUAUUCUUGUUUAAGCCUUUCCUCAUUUUUAAAAAUGGUGGCAAAGUAUACAUGUAACAUAAAAUUUACCAUCUUAACUAUUUGAGUAUACAGCUCAGCAGCAUUAAGUAUAUUCCCAUUUUUGUACAACCAACAUCCACAACUUUUUCAUCCUGUAAAUGUGAAACUAUAUCCAUGAAAUAAUAACUACCCUUUUCCCCCUGCCCCCAGCCCCUGGCAACCACGACAAGAAACCUACAAACUCUCACUACAAGCGUUAAUAGCCUAAAAGUGGGAGACCAGUAAUACUUUCUGAUUUUAUGAGGUGGACUACUCUAGAUACUUCAUAUGAGUGGAAUCAUAAGUAGUUAUCUUUUUGUGAUUGGCUUAUUAGAAUAUCCUCAAGGUUCAGCCACAUUGUAGCAUAUGUCAAAAUUUCCUUCCAAGGCUGAAUAAUAUUACAUUGUAUGUAUAUGCCACAUGUAUUAGUCUGUUUUGUGUUGCUAUAAAGGAAUACCUGAGGCUGGGUAAUUUAUAAAGAAAAAUGGUUUAUUUAGCUUAUGGUUCUAUAGGCUGUACAAGAAGCAUAGUGCCAGCAUCUGCUUCUGGUGAGGCCUCAGGAAGCUUACAAUUAUGGCAGAAGGCAAAGGGAGAGCUAGCAUAUCACAUGGCAAGAGGGAACAAAAGGGAGAGGGAGGAGGUGCCAGGCUCUUUUAAACAACUAGCUAUAGGAUGAACUCAUAUCCAUGUGGAGGACACCAAGCCAUUCAUGAGAUCCACCCCAUAAUCCAACACCUCCCACUAGGCGCCACCUCCAACACUGGGGGUCACAUGUCCGUGUGAGAUUUUGAGGGAACAAAUAUCCAAAUCAUAUUACCACAUUUUGUUUAUCCAUUCAUCCACUGAUGAACAUCUGGGUUGUACGUAUUUCUUGGUUAUUGUGAAUAAUGCUGCUAUGAAUUUCUCCUUUUUUUAUUUAAGUACUUAACAUUCCUCUCAACUCUGCUUUAGCUGUAUCCUUCCAAUUUUGAUAUGCUGUUGUCACUUUUUCAUAUUUCAAAACAUUUUCCCCUUAUUUAUUCAAUGAUCUGUAGAUCUAGAAGUGUGUUAUUUAAUUUCCAUGUAUUGAAGGACUGUAUAGGUUUCUUAUUAUUGGUUUCUAAUGCACAUUCCCUGUAAUGUGGCAAUCUUUUGAAGUUUAUUGUGACUUAUGGUCCAGCCAAUAGUCUAUCAUGGGGACUGUUCAGGUACAUGAAAAGAAUGUAAUUUUUCAAUUGUGGGUAUGGUGUUCUGUAAACAACAAUUAGGUCAUGUUGACUGGUGUGGUUCAUAUCUUCUAUACAGUUGUCCCUUGCUAUCCACAGGGGACUGGUUCCAGGACACCUUGUGGAUACCAAAACCUACAGAUGCCCAAGUUUGUUAUAUAAAAUGGUGUAGUAGUUGCAUAUAACCUAUGCACAACCUUCUGUAUAUUUUAAACCAUCUCUAGAUUUUUUAUAAUACUUAAUACAAUGUAAAUGCUAUGUAAAUAAUUUUAUACUGUAUUUUAAAAUUUGUAUUUUUUUACUGUCAUUGUGUUUUUUCUGAAUAUUUGUGCAUUGCUAUUGGUUGAAUCUGCAUAUAUGAAGAGCUGAUUACAUAUACUACUGAAUUUCUUGCCUACAAGUGCUAUCAAUUACUGAGAUAUAAUUGUGGAUUUCCAAUUAUGCUUGUGGAUCUAUUUCUUUUGUUCUGUUAGUUUUUGCUUCAUAAAAUUUAACACUCUCAUUAUAGGUUCAUACUAGCAUACAUAUUCCUGAUGAACACAGUCAUGUGUCAUGUAAUAACAUUUUACUCAAUGAUGGACACAUAUACAAUGGUGGUCCCAUAAGAUUACAAUGGAGCUGAAAAAUUCCUAUCACUUGUGGACGUUGUCAUGCAACAUAUCACUCAGGUGUUUGUGGUGACGCUGCUGUAAAUAAACCUACUGUGCUUCCAGUUGUAUAAAAGUAUAGCACAUGCAAUUAUGUAUAGUACGUAAUAGGUGAUAAUAAUAAGUGAUUACAUUACUAGUUUAUGUAAUUUAUUGUACUAUUUGUAUUAUUAUUUUAGACUGUACUCCUUCUACUUAUUAAAAAAAAAAAGUAACUGUAAAACAGCCUCAGGCAAGUCCUUCAGGAGGUAUCCAGAAGAAGGCAUUGUUUUCAUAGGCGAUGACAGCUCCAUGCAUAUUUUUAAUCCUGAAGACGACAUUCCAGUUGGACAAGAUAUGGCGGUAAAAGACAGACAUAUUGAUACUCUAGACCCUGUGUAGGCCCAGGCUAAAGUGUGUUUGUUUUUAACAAGAAAGUUUAAAAAGUAACAAACAUUUUUAAAACAAAAAAAUUUUUAAAUAGAAAAAAGCCUAUAGAAUAAGGACAGAAAUAUUUUUGUGUUGCUAUAUAAUGUGUUUGCGUUUUAAGUGAAGAGUCACUACAAUUCAGAAAGAUAAAAAAUAGUAAGUUUAUAAUGUAAAAAUAUUACAGGAAGCUAAGGUUAAUUUAUUAUUGAAGAAAACUUAAAAAAAUAAAUUUAGUGAAGCCUAAGUGUACUGCUUGUAAAGUCUACAGCAGUAUACAGUAAUGUCCUAGUCCUUAGCAUUCUCUCACAACUCACUCACUGAUGCACCCAGAAAUUCAGUCCCACAAGCUCCAUUCAUGGCAAGUAUCUUAUACCGGUGUGCCAUUUUUUAAUAUUUUAUACAGUAUUUUUACUGUACCUUUGCUAUGUUUAGAUACACAAACACCACUGUGUUAUAAAUGCCUACAGCAUUCAAUACAGGUAUGCUAUAUGCUAUAUAAUAUGCUAUACAGGUUUGUAGCCUAGGAGCAAUAGGCUAUACCAUAUAACUUAGGUAUGUAGUAGGCUACCCCAUUGCUGUUUGUGUUAGUGUGCUCUAUGAUGCUUGCAUGAUGCAAUCACCUAAUAACACAUUUCUCAGAAUGUAUCCCUGUAGUGACAAAUGUAUAUGCAAAUUCCUAAUGACCUGCUCUUUUAUGACUGUUACCUAUCUCCUGCCAUAUACACUGUUUUGAGGCCUAUUAUCUGAUACUACUAUAGCCAUGCCAACUUUCUUAUACUUAAUGUGUAUCUUUUUCUUGACCAAUUUUAAGUAGCUUUCUCAGCUUAGAAUUUCUAAUUCACACGUGUAGUAUUUUUUUUUUUUUUAGACGGAGUCUCACUCUGUCUCCCAGGCUGGAGUGCAACGGCGCAAUCUUGGCUCACUACAACCUCCACCUACCGGGUUCAAGCAAUUCUCUGCCUCAGCCUCCCGAGUAGCUGGGAUUACAGGCACCCACGACCAUGCCUGGCUAAUUUUUAGUAGAGACAGGUUUUCACCAUGUUGGCCAGGCUGGUCUCGAACUCCUGACCUCAGCAGGUGAUCCACCCGCCUCGGCCUCCCCAAGUGCUGGGAUUAUAGGCAUGAGCCACUGCCUCCAGGCGCAAAUACACAAUUUAAUACUACAUGUGGCCGGGUGCGGUGGCUCACGCCUGUAAUCCCAGCACUUUGGGAGGCCAAGGCUGGCAGAUCACUUGAAGUCAGGAGUUCGAGACCAGCCUGGUCAAAUGGCGAAACCAUCUGUACUAAAAACACAAAAAUCAGCCAAGUGUGGUGGCAUAAUCCCAGCUACCAGGGAGGCUGAGGCAGCAGAAAUGCUUGAACCCGGGAGACAGAAGUUGCAGUAAGCCAAGAUCGCACCACUGUACUCCAGCGUGGGCAACAGAGCAACACUUCAUCUCAAAAAAAAAAAAAUUCUCCCCCAGUGGAGUGCAGUGGCUCAUGCCUAUAAUCCUAGCACUUUUGGAGGCUGAGGCGGGGGGAUCACAAGGUCAGGAGAUCGAGACCAUCCUGGCUAACACGGUGAAACCCCAUCUCUACUAAAAAUACAAAAAAUUAGCCGGGCAUCGUGGCGGGCACCUAUAGUCCCAGCUACUCGGGAGGCUGAGGCAGGAGAAUAGCGUGAACCCGGGAGGCGGAGCUUGCAGUGAGCUGAGAUCACGCCACUGCACUCCAGCCUGG
rnacentral:lncRNA from 1 species